rnacentral:sRNA from 1 species
AAUAAAUUUCUUUUAUAUACAACAUGUCUGGAGAAAAAAUGUUCAGGAGAAACGAAAAGAAAAAUAUUAGAAGUGCAUCGAACCUUGUUCACAAGAGUUUACUUGGGGCACACCUAACCAUUUGAGCUAACACAUUUUAUAACAGACCUAUUAACUGAAAAAUUAUUAAUAUUUAGUAUAGGGCACGUGCCCCACCUCAGCACUAUGUAGAUCUGCCAUUAUAUAUAUAUAUAUAUAUAUGUUUUUGUAUAUAUUUGAUAAAAAUAUAAAACACUUGUAUUUAGGUAUUCUUAGAACGCACUAGGCGUAUAGCAAAAACGCAUACCAAAUACUAAUGUUUUAUGAAUUUAUUAUAAAGUUAUUUUAUGUCCCGCACUUUGCAAAUGUUGUUGAAUGGUAACAUAGGUUGUGAACUCUAACCUAUAAAAAGCGAUUUUUGAAACUUUUUUUUUAAUCAAAAACGCAAUAGUGUUACCAAUCAUUAUUUUUAUCCAAUUUGCAUUUUAUAAAAAUUGCAGUUUUGUCCAACAGAUUAUGCCGUGGAACGCAUUUCAAAACAAACCAGUCUUUACCCAGGGGAUUUGUCAAAAAGCGCGACAUGUAAUGUUUUUUUCCAAAAUUUGAUUUUUUAAUGUUAAAUAUAUAUUGUAUGUUAUAUUACGAGCAAAAGUAAAGAAAAUUAAUUAUCCUCUCCAUUAUUUUCUUGUUUCUAAGUUCUCAUUUCUUAUUUUCAUGUAAUAAUUGUUUUUAACACUUAAUUCAAUAUAUCUGUCUAAAACUUUUAAUAUAUGAAAUACCUUUGUUAGACUUAGUUUUUUGUUAAACACUUAAUUCAAUAGUAGUUUUUCUUGUCUUGUGGUUUUUAUGAAUUUAAAAUUUUUAUUUUUCUUAACAAUAAUUAUUUCAAAAGAAAUUAUUAUUUUAUAUCAAUUUCGAUAUUUAAGAUUUAUAAAUAUAUGAAAA